CCUGCCCAGAAGCGGGGGAUAACACCUGGAAACAGAUGCUAAUACCGCAUAACAACUUGGACCGCAUGGUCCGAGCUUGAAAGAUGGCUUCGGCUAUCACUUUUGGAUGGUCCCGCGGCGUAUUAGCUAGAUGGUGGGGUAACGGCUCACCAUGGCAAUGAUACGUAGCCGACCUGAGAGGGUAAUCGGCCACAUUGGGACUGAGACACGGCCCAAACUCCUACGGGAGGCAGCAGUAGGGAAUCUUCCACAAUGGACGAAAGUCUGAUGGAGCAACGCCGCGUGAGUGAAGAAGGGUUUCGGCUCGUAAAACUCUGUUGUUAAAGAAGAACAUAUCUGAGAGUAACUGUUCAGGUAUUGACGGUAUUUAACCAGAAAGCCACGGCUAACUACGUGCCAGCAGCCGCGGUAAUACGUAGGUGGCAAGCGUUGUCCGGAUUUAUUGGGCGUAAAGCGAGCGCAGGCGGUUUUUUAAGUCUGAUGUGAAAGCCUUCG
rnacentral:rRNA from 1 species